ACCUGCAUUGGAAAGUGAUUCUGGUCUUGCCUGUGACCUGGUCAUUGAUAGUGCAGGGAGAGGAGCUUGUGAAAGCUUUUUCCCCGUGUUUGGGGGGUUCAUUCCUAUCCCUACCAAACCCUGUAACUUUCAGACA
ensembl:snoRNA SNORA71 Small nucleolar RNA SNORA71